AGUGGCGGACGGGUGAGUAACGCGUGGGUAACCUGCCUCAUACAGGGGAGUAACAGUUAGAAAUGACUGCUAAUACCGCAUAAGACCACAGCACCGCAUGGUGUAGGGGUAAAAACUCCGGUGGUAUGAGAUGGACCCGCGUCUGAUUAGGUAGUUGGUGGGGUAACGGCCUACCAAGCCGACGAUCAGUAGCCGACCUGAGAGGGUGACCGGCCACAUUGGGACUGAGACACGGCCCAA
rnacentral:rRNA from 1 species